ACACGCAUGACACACUGCAUAUCAAUAAGCGGAGGAAAAGAAACUAACAAGGAUUCCCUUAGUAGCGGCGAGUGAAGCGGGAAGAGCUCAAAUUUGAAAUCUUCAAGGUUCUACCUUGACGAAUUGUAGUUUAUAGAAGUGUUUUCUGUUAGUAGAGUGGCAAAAGUUCUUUGGAAUAGGACAUCAUAGAGGGUGAGAAUCCCGUAUUUGGUCAUUCUUUCUAGCUUUGUGAUACACUUUCAACGAGUCGGAUUGUUUGGGAAUGCAGUCCAAAAUGGGUGGUAAAUUUCAUCUAAAGCUAAAUAUUGGCGAGAGACCGAUAGCGAACAAGUACCGUGAGGGAAAGAUGAAAAGAACUUUGAAAAGAGAGUUAAACAGUACGUGAAAUUGUCAAAAGGGAAGCGUUUGACGCCAGUGUUGUUUUUCCGAAAAUCAAUUACGAAUGUUUUAUUUUUGAGAAGUUAUGACUUCAUCGGCUUGCUUCUCUCUUUAUGAAACUUUCUUAAUGCACUUUUCGGUUAACAAGUCAACAUCAAUUUCUUUUGUUGUAAAAGGGUAUGAGGAAGGUGGCUUUCUUUUCGGAGGAAGUGUUUAUAGCCUUGUACCUCUGCAAUCGGAGAGAUUGAGGUCUGCAGCGUAGAUCCUUCGGGGUUAGAUACAUUUGUGCUAAGUUAUAGCUUUUUCAUAGACAACUUGUUGACUAUAAUUAGUCUUGUAGCUUACUCGCUUAUGCUAUUUUACCUACGCUUAGGAUGUUGACUGAUAUGUAGUCGUA
rnacentral:rRNA from 1 species